rnacentral:piRNA from 1 species
GUGUUAAAGACAGCAUUGUUGGG